rnacentral:rRNA from 1 species
CCUACGGGGGGCAGCAGUGAGGAAUAUUGGUCAAUGGACGAGAGUCUGAACCAGCCAAGUCGCGUGAAGGAUGACUGCCCUAUGGGUUGUAAACUUCUUUUAUAUGGGAAUAAAACGUUCCACGUGUGGGAUUUUGUAUGUACCAUAUGAAUAAGGAUCGGCUAACUCCGUGCCAGCAGCCGCGGUAAUACGGAGGAUCCGAGCGUUAUCCGGAUUUAUUGGGUUUAAAGGGAGCGUAGGUGGAUUGUUAAGUCAGUUGUGAAAGUUUGCGGCUCAACCGUAAAAUUGCAGUUGAAACUGGCAGUCUUGAGUACAGUAGAGGUGGGCGGAAUUCGAGGUGUAGCGGUGAAAUGCUUAGAUAUCGCGAAGAACUCCGAUUGCGAAGGCAGUUCACUGGACUGAAACUGACGCUGAGGCGCGAAAGUGUGGGUAUCAAACAGGAUUAGAUACCCCGGUAGUC